AUUACUGAGUGAGGGCCCUCUGGGUCCAACCUCCCACCCGUGUUUAUUUACCUUGUUGCUUCGGCGGGCCCGCCUUAACUGGCCGCCGGGGGGCUUACGCCCCCGGGCCCGCGCCCGCCGAAGACACCCUCGAACUCUGUCUGAAGAUUGUAGUCUGAGUGAAAAUAUAAAUUAUUUAAAACUUUCAACAACGGAUCUCUUGGUUCCGGCAUCGAUGAAGAACGCAGCGAAAUGCGAUACGUAAUGUGAAUUGCAAAUUCAGUGAAUCAUCGAGUCUUUGAACGCACAUUGCGCCCCCUGGUAUUCCGGGGGGCAUGCCUGUCCGAGCGUCAUUGCUGCCCUCAAGCACGGCUUGUGUGUUGGGCCCCGUCCUCCGAUUCCGGGGGACGGGCCCGAAAGGCAGCGGCGGCACCGCGUCCGGUCCUCGAGCGUAUGGGGCUUUGUCACCCGCUCUGUAGGCCCGGCCGGCGCUUGCCGAUCAACCCAAAUUUUUAUCCAGGUUGACCUCGGAUCAGGUAGGGAUACCCGCUGAACUUAAGCAUAUCAAU
rnacentral:rRNA from 1 species